rnacentral:rRNA from 1 species
AAGAUGGCGUAAGCUAUCGCUUUUGGAUGGACCCGCGGCGUAUUAGCUAGUUGGUGAGGUAACGGCUCACCAAGGCAAUGAUACGUAGCCGAACUGAGAGGUUGAUCGGCCACAUUGGGACUGAGACACGGCCCAAACUCCUACGGGAGGCAGCAGUAGGGAAUCUUCCACAAUGGACGCAAGUCUGAUGGAGCAACGCCGCGUGAGUGAAGAAGGCUUUCGGGUCGUAAAACUCUGUUGUUGGAGAAGAAUGGUCGGCAGAGUAACUGUUGUCGGCGUGACGGUAUCCAACCAGAAAGCCACGGCUAACUACGUGCCAGCAGCCGCGGUAAUACGUAGGUGGCAAGCGUUAUCCGGAUUUAUUGGGCGUAAAGCGAGCGCAGGCGGUUUUUUAAGUCUGAUGUGAAAGCCCUCGGCUUAACCGAGGAAGUGCAUCGGAAACUGGGAAACUUGAGUGCAGAAGAGGACAGUGGAACUCCAUGUGUAGCGGUGAAAUGCGUAGAUAUAUGGAAGAACACCAGUGGCGAAGGCGGCUGUCUGGUCUGUAACUGACGCUGAG